AUCUUGACAUCCAAUUGACCAUCUUUAAUCGAGAUUUUGCCUUCGGGUACAAUUGAGACAGGUGGUGCAUGGUUGUCGUCAGCUCGUGUCGUGAGAUGUUGGGUUAAGUCCCGCAACGAGCGCAACCCUUGUGUUUAGUUGCAAACAGGUCAAGCUGUGCACUCUAGACAGACUGCCGUGGACAACACGGAGGAAGGUGGGGAUGACGUCAAAUCAUCAUGCCCCUUAUGAUCUGGGCUACACACGUGCUACAAUGGCCGGUACAACGGGCAGCGAAGGAGCGAUCCGGAGCGAAUCCUAAAAAGCCGGUCCCAGUUCGGAUUGCAGGCUGAAACUCGCCUACAUGAAGUUGGAGUUGCUAGUAAUCGCGAAUCAGCCAUGGCGCGGUGAAUACGUUCCCGGGCCUU
rnacentral:rRNA from 1 species